rnacentral:lncRNA from 1 species
CCAAGUUUUAAAUCAGGUAAAAGCUUAGUAAACCCUGUUUUAUAUGGUUCUCAAUAGGGGAUAUUGCAUUAAGAUGUCAGUAUAAUAAUAUAAAAACUUGUAAUCUUUACGGUUUUGUUGACAUAACUAUAAAAGCAUCAUAUGCAAACUAGUAUUGGUGUUAAUUUCUGUGUCAUUUUGAUCUCUUAUGGAGAGAUGUCUCAUUGGCAAUCAUAGCACAUCUUCUUUUUAUAUGUAGUGUACUUUUAAAU